GCGUCAUGCUGGUGCCUAGUCCCCGCUACCUGGGCUUACAGAACGACGAACCUCCCAGACUGAUGGGUGAAGGCUUUGUAGUGAUGCAGUCAAACGAUGUUGACAUCUACUAUUACCAGGAUGAACCGGGUCUUGUCCCUGCGAAGCAGGAGAGCCCUGAGGAAGUGGAGACGAGCAGCGAGGGCGAUCAGCUGCAAGAUCUUCCGCCGUGUUGGGGUCUCGACAUUGUUUGUGGAAAAGGAACCGAUUUCAACUACGGACCCUGGGCAGAUCGCCAGAGGUGAUCACAGAUUCUGUCUUUAUCCGUGUUUAGCAUUAUCAGUUCUCUUGAUCUUAUCACAGAUGAUU